GGACUGCCCACCGGGUCUCGCUGCAGCCCAGACUCCCAGGCUCGCAGACGCUCGCGAGGGGCAGGGGCCGGCAGGCAGCAAUCCUUGCAUCCCAGCUUAAUCCUGCCUUACGCUCUAGAACCUCCCUGCCCCAGGGUCUAACUGUGAUUCACUUCUUGCGCUAAUUUUUGUCACUGUUCCGCCCUCGGGACGCAGCCCCCGCUCCCCCGCACCUUUGAGAGGGGUGAGAGGGCAUGCUGCUGUCUGGAAGGGCCUGAGGGUGGAGGGGUGGUGCCCAGGGAACGCCCCCCUUCCUUUCUCCUCCAUCCUUGCUUUCCCAACUCAGGCAUUAGGUGUUGUUCCAGCCUGUCCGGGACUGGGCCACUAGCUUUGGUGAUAUAUAUGUAUCAUAAGGAUUCCAUGUUCAUUUUUAUCCACAGACACAAGUUACUUUGUCCCUUGGUUUCUUCUUAUCUACAGAAAAAAACAAAACAAAAAAAGCAUAUAUAUCCAUAUAUAUAUAUAUAUUUUUUUUUUUCUGCUGAGACUAAGUAACUGAGUUGAUUUUCCCAAGGUCACAGAACAGGUUCUUCCUACAGAUAAGAAAGAAUCCAGUCUUUCCACUUGAGCUUAAUACUGAGCUUGUGCCUGCAGUAUGCUGCUACUUAGCCAAGUAGGUGAAGGUGAUGGGAGAAGGAAGCCAUAGGAGGGAAUGUGGCAAACUCCUCAUAGUGUGACUAUUACAUGAUUUUUACCAUUUCUGCAAGUUUCAUGUGAUGUUCUAAAGAUCCAGUGUUUCUCAUCAGAAUAUCAGGAAAUUGUAGGGAAACAUGUAUUGCUUCCUUGUCUAAUAACUUCUCACGUACAUGUUUGAGCUGACAUUUUUGGAAGUAUGUCUUUCCUUGUGGGUAAGAAUGAAGAUUUAUUGAGUGCUUACCAGGGCCAGGCACUGUGUGUACGUUUUUUCAUCUCAUUUAAGGCUUAGAACAACCUUAAAAGGUUAGUAAUGUUUUUAUUCCCGUUUUGCAGUUAGGUUAAUGGAAGUCUUGAGACAGUUUGUCCAAGAUUACACAGAUAAGUUAGUGGUAGCUCCAAAGCUCCAGCUUUUGAAUCUAAUUGGUCUUUCCAGAGCUUCCAGAGAUUUCAGAGCUUCUAGUCUAAACAAUGUACUAAAAUGUGUGUAGAUUUACUAGGAGGGUGUCUCAUCUAACAGUAGGUACUAUAAAGGUUAAUAGUAGGGUUUUUUUUUUUCCCACCACCAAAAUGAGCCCUCAAUUCUGUCUUCAAAGCAAGGAAAUUUUGGCCUAAUACUUGAGAAACAGUGCAGGUUUUCUUAAUCCACCUUUCCAUAGUUGUAAAUUUACUAAAAUCUAAGUAAAAUGAUACCAUGUUUAUAAGCUUAUUCCUAUCAUAAAAAUAAUACAAGCAUAUUACAGAUAAUUUGGAUAAUGGAGAAAAAGUAAAAAAAAAAAAAUCACCCACUAUAGUAAAUAUUGCUAACAUUUUGGUGUGUAUCCUUUCUCUUUUUUUUUUUUUUCAUUUUGUUUUGAUGUGUAUCCUUACAGGUAUUUCCUUUCAGUUUAGUGUAGUAUUUUCCUACUUUUAGUUUUAAUACAAAUACAACUUAUUUAAUCAGAAGCAUUUUCCUAGAAUGUAGUUUUUAUAAUGUUCUUGAGAAUUUAGAAGAAAUGUUCCGUUGAGUAAAGAUGCUACAAUUCUUUUACAAGUUAAAAUCUUGACCCUGGAAUCUGAUUGUCCUAAGCUUGAUCUUGUUUUGGCUUUCUGUAACUUUGGAGUUAUCCUCUAUACGCCUCAGGUUCUUCAUAUGCAAGUGGUUAAAAAUAAUACUUACUUCAGAAGGUUGUUAUGAGGGCUACAUAAAACAAUAUUAGUGAUAUACUUAACACGAUGUUUGACAACUGAGAAGCAAGCAUUCAUUCAAGAAGUGGAACCUUUAAAUAAUUACCAUUAUGUUUUUGUUGUUACAGUUUUGCAAUUUUAUAAAUAAUGUAGAUAUAAGCAUUUCAUGUAUAUGGCUUUUAUGUAUCUGAGAUUAUUUCUUUAGGAUAGAGUCCUGAAUGUUUUAAUGCAUAGUUCAAAUUUAUACUCCAGUUUAUACCCCAUGAUAUGUAUAAGAGUGUGAGUAUUGGAUGUUAAUGCUAAAAUCAGGUGUGUGCAUGUACAUUCUUGGGUAUUUUGUGCUAACUGUACUUUGUUUUACUUUUUGUUUCAUUUCCAUUGAGGAAUAUUUUCUUAUGUUUUUGUUAACUUGACUUAUUUUUAAAAGUAUACUCAGUAUUUUUCCCAUCAAUACCAAUACUAUCUAUCAUUAUUGCAUAGCUGCUCUUUUCCAGGUGUUGUGUUAGACAUCAGUUUAUAAUCUUCACAGUAACCUUGUGAGCUAGAUAUUAUUAUGCUCAUUUUAAAGAUGAGAAAAUUGAGGCUCAGAAGUGUUAGUACUUGCCCAAGUCUGGUAAGUAGCAAAGCCAGAGUUUGAAUCGUGAUGUGUUUGACUCCAAAGCCUCCCAUACUACUUAUAUACUAAUAUUUUGUGUAUUAAAAAUAUUGAAAAAGAUACUUUCUGCUUUUCACAUGUGCUGCAAAUACUUUUGACUCUUUUAUUUUGGUUGUUUUGACAUAUAAAAGGUACUCCUUAAAUAGGAGGUAGUCAGAUUAGAUUCUGAGUAGGUGACACUGAUGCUGCUUUAUGCUGGUAUGUUUGCUGCCUUUAUUACACUGUGCUGUUUUCUGAGAACAGUUCAUCCUGGCCUUUCCAUGCCCCUGAUUCUUGGGCAUUAUAUGGAUGUGAGCUUGUUUAUUCAGUCAUUCUAUGGAUUUUUAUUUUCUUCUGGAUGCCAGACUCUGCUAGCUGCUAAGGAUAUGAUCGUGGACCUGUUGGAGGGUAAUCUGAAUCUUCUUUUUGGACACUUUGUACCUUUGUCUGCCAGGAAAUUCAAAGCUUUUAUAGUAUUUUCAUCCAGGGUUGGGCUACCCACAAGAAGGCCAUCUGUAUACUGGAAUAUACUCCCAUUCCUUAAUUGCAAACCUCUCAGAUCCCACUCUAAGGCUCAAGCAAAGAAAAGGGGGCUAUCCUGAAAACCCUGGGGGAGCACUGUCCAAAUGUAUUGUUGUUUUUCUUUGGUAUUAGGAUUUUCCCAUUCAAAGGCAAAAAGGUAUUGGGAUUCUGGGGCCAGAGAAGUGGAAAAGAAAUCUUUUAGGUCUAGGACUGAGAACAUUUAGCAUCCCCUGGCACCUGAACCAGGAGAGUAUAUGGAUCUGCCACCAAUGAGUGGACAGAGAUAACGGCCUCAUUAAUUAUUCUGAAGUCUUGUAGUAGCCAGUAAUACCCGGAAGGCUUUAGAACAGCAAAGGUAGGGAUAUUAUAGGGAGAACUUCAGGAUCUUAAGAGCCCAUAUAUAAGUACUACCUCAGCUGUGGAUGCUAGGCCUUUCCUUGCUUCCAGCUUAAUUAGGUAUUGUUUUUGAUUGGGAAAAUAAAUAGCUGGGGAUUUUUAAGCUGUAUUUUGACUGGCAUUGCUGUUUUAGCCUGUCCUGGUUUUCCAGUAUACCAUGACAGUGGGUUAACCUGUUUAUUAAUAUGUCUGGGACAUUGUCUGUAUUUUUGACUAUUAGCAGUAUCACCAGAUGAUGCUUAAAUUGUAGUAGUGACCCUAUUUUAACCACAUAUUAGUACGUAUAUCUCUUUUCAACAGCAGGACUAGACAGCUUGGUACUAAUAGAAAUUCCUGUUGGAAGAUUUGUUUCUCAAAUUGACAAAUGAAAGGAGGAGUAAAGGAUCUUAUUUAUGGCUUUCCUUCUAUUCCCAUAAUGCUUGUGGCUUGGGAGGAAAGUUUUCCAACAUAAGCAGCAAGGAAAGAAACUGAAUUUGUGUAGAAGAGAAACUGAACUUGGAUGCCCAUGACAUCCAGUUACCUGGGGCUCCUGAGUAGUAAUUAUGAUGUUCCUGAACAGUGGUGUUGAGGAAGACCCCGGGCCCCUUCAGUCUUCAUCUGAUUUUUCUUUUUGGACUGCUAGAGUUUUGCCUAACUGAACCCCUAGGUGAGAGCAGGACCAGUCAGUCUUCCAGUGCCAGGGGUCAUAACUAGUGCCCUCACAUUUUUGGUAGGGGACUGGCAAGGGCUCUCUACAGUCCUUUAUCCAAUUCUCAUUUUUCUUGCAUUUGAAGCAAGAGCCUUUGCUGUCUAGAUUAUCAGAGGCAAGCAAAACCAACCAAAUUUCAAGUGGCUGGUGUGUUCCAUCAAUUCCUGCAGGCCUGAAAUAGGUAGCCUAGGAAUUCCAGAUAAAUAGAACACAUGAUGACUUGCUGGAAAUUCACAGGAAACAAAAAUAACUAUUCACAGAAACAAAUAAAAGCCUUCCACUAAGAACUAAAACAACAACAACAACAACAACAACAACUGUGAUUUUAUUUAUAUGCAUAUACAACAAGUAAAACCUGAAGGAGAUCAAAUGGCAAACAAAUGAAUAUUAGAUGCAAAAACAAACAGGAAACCAUCCCUACAUUUUUCCUACUUAGUCCACUCUGGAGGCUACAGUGUUAUCCAGAGCCCCCCAAAAAUCCACAUAAUGAAUAUUUUAUUCCUGAUACACAACUCAAUAUCCCUAAUUCUACCAGUAUCAGCAUACAUACUGUCCAAUCAAGAAAUUCACUCUAGGCACAUGAUCAGUAAGCACUCCAGUACCAGUUUGUUUAGUAAAGUUAUACUUAAGUCAUUUAAACUUGAAAAUUGUUUAGACUUACUUAAUUUAUGAGCUCUCCCUUAAUUAUAAGCCAAUUUGGUAGACACGACAUAUAACAAAUGUACAUACAAAUAAACACAUCUAGACAUGGAUAUACACACACAUAUGAGGAUCCAGUAGCUUUUACCUUGGAAUUCUAGCCAUGAAAUAGCAAUACAAGCCCACUGGUUUUACUUUGUUUGCCCCAAUGGAUAAUCCAAUGAAGGCUGUGAACCAAAAUUUUGGGUAAAGCAGUUUCCCUGGUAGUUUGAUUUUUAAAGGGCAAACCUCUCCAGACUCCAAACACCGGGACCAAACAGCACUAAAGGAGAACAUCACAUACUAACCAGGCCUGAUCCUACUUAGAACAGCAGUACAAAAGCCUGGAUACAUGCACCUCCAUCCCACUGUCCUAUUCAACAGCAAACUCCAGAAUUUCAAACAAUAAUGGGGGCCAACAGUAUUGCAAAAGAAUAGCAAGUUUACUGAAUCCCUAUUUCCCAUGACUAUAUCAAACACACAAAAACAAUUCCCAGAACACAGUCCAACUGCUGCAGCAACAAAUAAGCCCCAAGAAUGUCCAAACUGUCUCAUUGUCACCUGCAAGAGAAAAUUCCAGGGAGGCCUUUCACUAGACCUCAGAGCCUCUGCUGAGGGCAUCCCCUAUGGAGAGGUUCAGGUCUGGAGUUGGAUUCCCCGGGGUGUCCCCUUUUGGGGUCAAAUCUUAGAGUGUCAGACAUCUCUGACUUUAGUUGGGCAUGGGUGCUGCUUUGUGUGUUUUCCCCCCAGAGGUGAUGGCCUACUAUGAACUUUGUUUUGUCCCUGGAUAAAGGCCUCGACUUCUAGCAUCCUUAUAGUUUGAUAAAGCCACACUUUCCUUUGCUUCCCAUUCCACUAGAUUGAUAGCCAUGAACUUCAAUGAUAGAAACCAGAGGCUGGGUGCAUUUCUUUUGUCCUUAGCCGGUCAGAGUAGGAUAAAGGAGGUCAAAACUUCUAAGAAACAUUAUUGUUUACCAUUACUGGUUAACUCUAUAGGGUAAUUUGGCUUAAGAACCCUGUAGGAGAAUUUAUCAUAAGAAAAGAAGGUUUAAGUCACCUGAAAUGUGUAAAUUCACCCUGUGAGCUGCUGCAGCCAAUUGCAACACACGUAGGGAUCAGGGACUAUAGCCGGGGACUAGGCAGCUUGGUACUACUAGAAAUUCCUCAUAGAAUUCCUAAUAGGUACUAAUAGAAAAGAGUCCUCUGCUUCUCCCUUGUGAUAUGGGCAGCUAUCCCCAUUUACCCCUUGGCCUUCAGGUAACACUGGAAAGUGGCCCUGGCCAGUUGCCCACAAUUACUAAGGAGCGACUAG